AUAACCCACGAUCAACCUUACCACCCUUUGCCAUUCAGCCUAUAUACCGCCGUCUCAAGCUUACCUUAUGAAAGCUAAAAAGUAAGCAAAAUAGCUCCUACAGCUAGAAAGUCAGGUCCAGGUGUAGCCGAUAGGGUGGGUGCAAUGGGCUACAUUUUCUAAGAUAGAAAUAUUAACGGACAGACCCUUGAAAUAGGGGCUAACAAGUCGGAUUUAGCAGUAAUCUAGGAAUAGAAAACCUAUAUUAAACUG
rnacentral:rRNA from 1 species